GCUUGCCGGACCUAGCCGUGCUGCAGCUUGGCCAGAAUCGGCGCCUAAAUCGACGUCGGGCGGACGGCGGACCAGCGUCGCCACCCAGUGGCGCGGAGGUUGGUGAGCCGGCACGGGGCGACUACACAAGAGGGCGGCGCCUCGGGCUUGUGGAGGAGCUUGGAGGAGGGGUCGAGGGAGCGAGAUGAAGGACGUCGAGGACCGCAGCUAGAGCGCCAUGGAUUUGAUAUGCCCUUGGAGAGGAAGAAGGGGGACGGGGAUGCUUGGAGGGGGAGAGGGACUGCAAUCUUUGUCUCCAGCUCGGGUCGUCAAUUCUGUCCUCAAGAAAGCCGCCGGGCUGCAGUUCGUGUACUCAACAUCACCUACACAGGACACAGGUAAAUCUCGUUUUCUUUUUGUGUUGCUCCCAUCUAAUGCAAAUUGAAUUGGGAUAAAGCUGAGAGCAAAUCCAUUCUGUUUAAAUAAAAUUAUUUUCAUGCAAUUGUCAAUCUAGUGCUCACAAUGCUCACUACUAAACUCAGAGUCUUGGACCAAUUGAUCUGUUCUCUGCUUGCUCUAUGCCUCUAGGUUUGACAUUUGGAUAGAUGGUUAUGUCUGCACUUUUGUCAAUAGAAUUAAAAUUGAUUCCUGCCAUCCCUAUCAUCAUACGUAAACUGAAGGAUAGCUGACAGGUCAGAUGCGCAUGAUGCAUGUGGACAUUGUGCAUAGAUAAUUCUUUGAACGAUUAUAUUUGACUGGGGAGAUGGAGUAGCAUUCAAAAAGAAAAAAAACUGGUUCAUACAAGUUCAAAUAAAAAUCACUUGUAGCUUGGAAGUCUAACACACAUGCGAUAAAACUAUUCCUUUUACAGAAAAGAUUAGGUUGGCUUCGGUUGAUUGAGAAAGAAUUGAUUUUGUCCUGUCAUUAAACUAGAGUCAGAGGUCCCAAUGCUCCCUUGCAGUGAGGAAUUCAGCGUGGAAUGUUGCUGUUGUAAAUAUGUAUACAUGUAAUUUGUUGGAUGACCCUGUGCAAAAAAUUAGAGAAGUUUAGUUUCAUUGAAGUUCUGAAACUAUACUUGAAAUGAAAGUGUGGACUGCUUAUACCACUGGAGUAUUGCCGUGUUCUUGGAUCUGCGGUGGCAUUGGGAUGGUAUGACCACUGGAUUGCAGCAUUGAAGCAUUUAGGAUAGAUGUUGGAUUCGGUUGAUGGAGGAAGUCUUGAUUUUCUCCUGUCAUCAAACCAGAGUUAGAGGCCCCAACGGUACCCUGCAGCGAGGUGUACAUGUUAUUUGUCGGAUGACCCUGUAGAGAAAGCAAAGUUCAGUUGCACUGAAGUUUAAAAAAUAGGAAAAAUGAAAGUGUGGACUGCUUCUACCAUUGCUGUAUUGUAUGGUUGGAAUCCAGCCAACAGUUGUUGGGUCUGUGGUGGCAUAGGGAUGGCAUUACCAAUUGAUGGUUGCAUUGAAGCACUUAGUAUAGCAUUAUAGUGUAAUUGAUAUGCAGCCAUUUGAUUUGUGAAAAAUUCCAUAGGACCCUAUAGAAAAUGAUAGAGAAAGGUCAGUACAGUUGAGGUUUUAUAAGAAACAAGCAACAUUGUAUUAUUACCGUCAGCGGGUCAUGAGGCUGUAGUUGUAUAAUAUCAUUUGUGUUCUUUUUCUUCUUUAAAGUUGCUUUCUUCAAAGGACCCUAUCGAAAAUGAUAGAGAAAGGUCAACACAUUGAAUAUUUUAUACGAAUCGAGUGACUAAAUAUUAUACCGUUGAGGGGCCACGAGGCUCUAGAUGCACAGUAUCAUUUGUGUUCUUUUUCUUCUUUGAAGUUGCUUUCUCAAAUCCACCAAUGGGUCUUUUUGAUCCUUUCACAGUCUUCUCCUUGACCUUCAUACCUUUUGGUUUUGCAAGCCCCUCACCGUGUUUUGAAAUUCUACUAGAGGCGAUGUUCGUUCCUGCCAGUAUAAUGCCAAAUAUCAGUCGUUGUUCAACAAUAGUGUAGGUAAUUAUUGUUAGUAUAGUUUGUACCUUCUUUAGUACUGGAGUUACCCAAAUCUGGAUUAGCACUAACCAAAUCUGGAUCAGCGCGAACCAAAUCUGGAUCAACAUGAACCAAAUGUGGAUCGGCGCUAACCAAAUCUGGAUCAGCUCUAAUCUUCAAGCAUUUCUCCACAUCUUGUGCUAAUUGCUCUGCACACUUAGCAGCCUUAUAGUAUGAUUCUUCAGACUCAGCGGCACGAGCAGCUAUUUUCACAAAUAUUCUGCAUAGUUCCUUGUAGCGGUUAGACAUUCUUGCUUUUAGGUUAUCACGCGGGUUGCAUUUGCUUGUUAUAUCUAGAACUUUGGCAUCAAUUGUCCAUCUUUUCAAGAUAUAUUCCCCAGGGAUAUGCUUGAUAUUGUUAAUAUCAAGUACCUUUAAGCAAUGAGAGCAAAGAAUUCCAGCAAACUCAAACCUUUUGCAACUGCAGCUAACCUUUUCUUUUUUUGGAAUGAAUCUAACAACAUGUUCACGUUGUGUGCCAUGAAAUUUUACUACAUAAAUCUUCACCUUUGUGUCACUUUCAUCACAAAGCAUUGUGUCAUAGUUCAGAGUCCGAAGCACUUGAUCUUGAACCAUCUUGAAUAUUGCUGGAGUAUAUGUAGCUGCAGCUUGUUUUAACAUAUAGCUAGAUUCAGCCUUCAACUUGGGAGUAGUCUGUGUUGCUUUAAAGUCAUACUUCACCUCUUCACAUCUUUUAUCCGAAACUAGCCGUUCAAAAUGCUUAAAGAAAGUAAGCAUGUCAUAUUUAAUACUAAUGUAUCUCUUCAGUUCAUUGUUCAUGCUUUCACUUCUUUGGGUAGUGCUCAUGUGGGCAGCGAACGUAUUUUUACCGUACACUAGUGCCUAGUGUUCCUUUUUCUCAAAUAGCCUUUGCAGCCAUUCAUUGUCACGCAGUCCAUACUUGUCAAUCAUUUUAUCCCAUGCACCUACAAAUUCAUCCUCCUCUUCUAUAUCAUAUAUACAGUGCUGAAAAUCAACAUUGAACUUCUUAUAUUCGUCAACAACUCCGGCGAGGUGCUUGCAAGCAUUUUGAUUCAUAUGCCACACACAAAGUCUAUGGUGAGAGUGGGGAAAGACUUCACGAAUUGCCUUCGCCAUUGCUGCAUCUUCAUCGGUGAGAAUUGUACGUGGAUGUUUUCCUGACAUAACUUUUAGGAAAGUUCUGAAAAGCCAAGCAAAACUAGCAGCGGUUUCAUCAUAUAGAAGUGCAGCACCAAAGACAAUAGUUUUCUUAUGAUUAUUCACCCCGACAAUCAAACCAAAUGGACGUCCAUCAUCUAGUUUUCUGUAUGUGGUGUCAAAGCAUAUAACAUCGCCGAACAUUGCAUAGUCUGAAACCAUUUUGGAGUCGGCCCAAAAAAUAUUAGUUAUCAACUCAUCCUCAUCCACUUGAAUUGAAUAGAAGAAGUUGACAUCUUCUGAGACCUUUUUCUCCAUGUAUUCUAAUACCCCCCCCUGUGUCACCUACCUUUGCUUUUAUUGUUCUCUUUGAGUACAAACAAUUUUUCAUAUCUUGAGGUGUAAAGCCAAGGUUUUCACUUCCACCUGCUUCUUUAGCCAUCAAAUCGAUUGUUGCUUUAUUUGAAAUGCCAACUGACUUUGCAACCUCUGCGUUUGCUAUCUGUGCUUCUGUCACUUUUCUCUGGGAUCUCAAGUAUUGGGCCAUGAGUCCAUUAGCAAGAGUGUGGUUAUGCGACGCCUCGAAUUCAUACACAUAAUAAAAUCCAUCUCUAAGGCUAAUCUUCAUACGGGCAUCACAACCACAUCGUGUUUCAGGCCUACUAUAAGUGAAUGUCUCCUCUCUUUUAUCUUCCCGGCGAUGGCCUAUAAGUUGUUGUAAUUGUCUUAGAGCAUAAAUAAAUGAUUAUAAUUUUUAAAAAUGAAAAUAACCCAUACCUUGACGAGAGCAUGUAAAUGUCCGUUGUUGAAAUGUAGAAGAGUUCAUCACUUUAUGACCAUUGCUUCUUCUGAUGCUAAAACCGAUGGUUUUAGCAUACUUGUUAUAAAAUAAAUAAGCUUCCUCUUCAGAUAAAAAUUUCAUGCCAUGCUUUGGUACCCUUUCAUCGGUGUGAUCUACUGUAGUUUCUUGAUCCUAUAUCAGUUAGGAUUCAAUUUAGUUAAUACACACAUAUAGCAAUCAUAUUUGCCUAUCAUGAGUUUUUAUGAACUGCAUCAUAAAUCAUAUUUAUAUCUCUUGCAAUCGUAUUUGUCUUAAGAAACAUGGAGUGCAUUGAGACAUCAGGAGUCUUAAGUUUUAGAGAAGAAAUCGUGAUGCACUCUAGAAUCCUUGUUCUGUUUAUAUUUCAUAUCUGUACACGGUUUGUGCAAGUAUAUUCAACUAUCUCUUAUGUUUGUCCAUGAACUAUAUGUAUUGUAAAAAGAAUAGAAAAAACUGUAGUGCAUGUUUUCCAAAACCUGAAAUCAGAGAUGGUACAAGAACGUCUGAAAUUGGCUACUGUACAUGACACUGCUUUGUUUUUCUAAAUUAAAAAAAAACUAACUUUCCAUUGUUGUUUGGCUUUUGCAGAAUGCGGUCACAGAUUCCUGUAGAAGUUCUACAAGGGUGCAGCACACUGCUUUUUCCCGGCCAACACUCUGGAUCGUGUCACAGUUGAUGGAAAGUGGAUCUUUUAGGCAAACAUAUUUGUGUGCACUGCUGGAUGAGAAGUCUCCCGCAAUGGUUCAAAACAAAGAAAUUAGAGAAUUUGCCGCAGAUUCAUCGUCAGAACCGAAUGAGAUAUCUUACUUUUGGUGCAUGAGAUUGUUCGUCAGUGUCCUGGUUCCCUGGAACACUCCUCGGAGAAGUCGUCAGGGAUGCAAGAUUCGGAGAAGCCAUCAGGGACGCGGAUUCCUUUGCUGCUCAAUUGAAGAGAAGAGUUUCCUGAUUCCUGGUUAAGCCACUAUUGAUAAUUGUGCGCUUUAAGGCUGUAAGGUCACUUCCGCCUCAUAUGAGAUGUAGAUCUUGCAUUUUGGCGCCCUUUUGUGUAUUCUGUGGUUCUUUUGGCGGGUAUUGAAGAAGGGAAUCAGUAUUACGAUGUGUAUUUUGUUUUUUUUCCACUUAAAAUCAGGAUCAAUCGUUGCGUGCGUGGAGCGGGGCGUCCGUGGAGCCAGGGCCGUGCGAUGGACACGCCGCACGGAUGGUCGCACGCAGCGGCCGC
rnacentral:lncRNA from 1 species